GACGAACGCUGGCGGCGUGCCUAAUACAUGCAAGUUGAGCGAUGAAGAUUGGUGCUUGCACCAAUUUGAAGAGCAGCGAACGGGUGAGUAACGCGUGGGGAAUCUGCCUUUGAGCGGGGGACAACAUUUGGAAACGAAUGCUAAUACCGCAUAACAACUUUAAACAUAAGUUUUAAGUUUGAAAGAUGCAAUUGCAUCACUCAAAGAUGAUCCCGCGUUGUAUUAGCUAGUUGGUGAGGUAAAGGCUCACCAAGGCGAUGAUACAUAGCCGACCUGAGAGGGUGAGCAGCCACAUUGGGACUGAGACACGCCCCAAACUCAUUGAGGAGGGAGCCGUACGGCAACUUCGGGCAUGGGUGGAAGUCUGACCGCGCAACGCCGAGUGAGUGAACAAGGUUUUCGGAUCGGAAAACUCUGUUGGUAGGGAAGAACGUUGGUGAGAGUGGAAAGAUCAGCAAGUGACGGUAACUACUCAGAAAGGGACGGCUAACUACGUG
rnacentral:rRNA from 1 species